UACGUAGGGGGCGAGCGUUGUCCGGAAUUAUUGGGCGUAAAGAGCUCGUAGGCGGUUUGUCGCGUCUGCUGUGAAAACCCGAGGCUCAACCUCGGGCCUGCAGUGGGUACGGGCAGACUAGAGUGCGGUAGGGGAGAUUGGAAUUCCUGGUGUAGCGGUGAAAUGCGCAGAUAUCAGGAAGACGCCACGUGGCUAAGGCGGCUCUCUAGUACGGUACUGACGCUGAGACGCGAAAGCGUGGGGAGCGAACAGG
rnacentral:rRNA from 1 species